UAAUUAAUUAAUUAAUAAUUUUUUAAUGCCAAUUUUGAAAAUAUGACGUAUUGUGAUGUAGCGAUCAAAACAUAACCUUUAAAAUGUUUAAAAUCUUUACAAUAAUCAAUAAUAAUCGUUUUCAACAAUAAAAACGAUCAAAAGAAUACUUUUCCUUCAUUUAAUGUUAUUUUGUGGUGCCAAAUGGGGUUUUGCAGUCGAAGCAAUCUCCGAAAGGUGAACAUCUAUUGGAACCCUGUCAUCGUACAACGUUGGAGCUUGAAGAAUUAUCCCCGCUGUCCCAACAAGAACUGCUAAGAGUCUUCUUCCCUCCUAGUAUGAUCAGCAAUGAAUCUAACACCAUCAAUAGCUUUAUGAACUUCCGGACAAUGAUGCCAUGGAUGAUCCCCUUUGCAACCAUCACCAUCUAUAGUUCCAGAAUUCCCUGAGAAAUUCCCAGAUAUAUCCCCAUUAUUUAUAUUCCCAGCUAAUUCACUUCCUAAAUCUUCUCCUAAAACUUCGUUUAAAUGUCCAAGGGUAACACCUGGAGGUGGUGUUCCAUGGAUUCUACAACCACUUAAAGCGCCUGGCUCCAAUUCUCUCGGUGUUAAUUCAUCUCUAGAACUAGCGCUUGGAAAUAACCCCGACGGAUCAUCACCGAGAAUCAUUUCGUUCGGAUCGGGAUAAAGAUGAUCUCUCAACUCCAAACCGUUACAAGUUCGCACCAUUACUCGAUGACUUCUCCU